UGCAAGUCGAGCGAACAGACAAGGAGCUUGCUCCUUUGACGUUAGCGGCGGACGGGUGAGUAACACGUGGGUAACCUACCUAUAAGACUGGGAUAACUUCGGGAAACCGGAGCUAAUACCGGAUAAUAUUUCGAACCGCAUGGUUCGAUAGUGAAAGAUGGUUUUGCUAUCACUUAUAGAUGGACCCGCGCCGUAUUAGCUAGUUGGUAAGGUAACGGCUUACCAAGGCGACGAUACGUAGCCGACCUGAGAGGGUGAUCGGCCACACUGGAACUGAGACACGGUCCAGACUCCUACGGGAGGCAGCAGUAGGGAAUCUUCCGCAAUGGGCGAAAGCCUGACGGAGCAACGCCGCGUGAGUGAUGAAGGUCUUCGGAUCGUAAAACUCUGUUAUUAGGGAAGAACAUACGUGUAAGUAACUAUGCACGUCUUGACGGUACCUAAUCAGAAAGCCACGGCUAACUACGUGCCAGCAGCCGCGGUAAUACGUAGGUGGCAAGCGUUAUCCGGAAUUAUUGGGCGUAAAGCGCGCGUAGGCGGUUUUUUAAGUCUGAUGUGAAAGCCCACGGCUCAACCGUGGAGGGUCAUUGGAAACUGGAAAACUUGAGUGCAGAAGAGGAAAGUGGAAUUCCAUGUGUAGCGGUGAAAUGCGCAGAGAUAUGGAGGAACACCAGUGGCGAAGGCGACUUUCUGGUCUGUAACUGACGCUGAUGUGCGAAAGCGUGGGGAUCAAACAGGAUUAGAUACCCUGGUAGUCCACGCCGUAAACGAUGAGUGCUAAGUGUUAGGGGGUUUCCGCCCCUUAGUGCUGCAGCUAACGCAUUAAGCACUCCGCCUGGGGAGUACGACCGCAAGGUUGAAACUCAAAGGAAUUGACGGGGACCCGCACAAGCGGUGGAGCAUGUGGUUUAAUUCGAAGCAACGCGAAGAACCUUACCAAAUCUUGACAUCCUUUGACAACUCUAGAGAUAGAGCCUUCCCCUUCGGGGGACAAAGUGACAGGUGGUGCAUGGUUGUCGUCAGCUCGUGUCGUGAGAUGUUGGGUUAAGUCCCGCAACGAGCGCAACCCUUAAGCUUAGUUGCCAUCAUUAAGUUGGGCACUCUAAGUUGACUGCCGGUGACAAACCGGAGGAAGGUGGGGAUGACGUCAAAUCAUCAUGCCCCUUAUGAUUUGGGCUACACACGUGCUACAAUGGACAAUACAAAGGGCAGCGAAACCGCGAGGUCAAGCAAAUCCCAUAAAGUUGUUCUCAGUUCGGAUUGUAGUCUGCAACUCGACUACAUGAAGCUGGAAUCGCUAGUAAUCGUAGAUCAGCAUGCUACGGUGAAUACGUUCCCGGGUCUUGUACACACCGCCCGUCACACCACGAGAGUUUGUAACACCCGAAGCCGGUGGAGUAACCAUUUGGAGCUAGCC
rnacentral:rRNA from 1 species